AUAUCGUAGUUGCUCGAAAUCGUGAACAAUUUUCUCCUUAUCGGUCGUUUUCUUAGUGUCUGUCAUUAGACAAAAUAUAUUCCUUGCUGUGGGCAUAAGAUUAGGUAAGUUCGGUUUACCAGGCCCACAGCGAAAGCGCCGAUGUUUGUGAGUGAAAAAAAAUGGAAAAACAGAAGUGAAAUCUCUUGCUUUCGGGUAAGGCUGGUAACGAAACCUACUGAUAAGGAACCGUGCCGGGAUUUAACGAAAUUGUUCGAACAAGGCCCGAGUAGUGCAGGAGAAUGACGGCUGCCAGCGUUUAACCAUCAGAGCUGGUAACCACCGCUCAGCCACUAGUUGGGCUAUCCGGCUUGGAUGUGCAGCGGAACACUAUUCACAAGCGAUCUGGGAUCUGGAAAGCCAGAAAGCGAAUCUAUAGAAUAUAAGCUUCUUCCACCCAGUUAUGAAUUUGCUGUAUCAAAACCAAAACACCAAUCCUACGAAUGGUAUUACCCAAAAGGAAUCUUAAAACAAAACUGGAUGCUGAAACAUUCGCAUGUUUUGCCGGCAGCCGUAGUCCUGGGUCGGGAUCAAGAAUGGAACGAUCUACAGGGAUGUGAGAAGCAGUUGCAGUGUGCUUCGAUUAUUCAGGCGUAGAGAAACUAUAUACGGCUAGCGGCAGUUUAAAUUCAAAAAGGUGCUAGCAUACCUCAAGGAGAUGAUUUUGUUGCUUCCGAGAGGGCAUCCCACUUGACCAGCACCGGUGAGAUUACCGCAAAAAUGCUCUUCGUGCUUCCUCACAACGAUCAUUUAAUGAAUCGCAUACUAAGACUGCAAUCCGCCUUCCUGAAACAUGCACAGUCUUACUGUAAUCAAAUAAUGAAGCAAAUUCGGUGAGACGAAUAUUCGGUUGAACACAUUGUUGAUCGUAUAAUAACUAAAUAACCAAAUGGUUUUGAUUGAUGUUUAAAUUGUUAUUUUCGCUUUUUGACUGUUCACGUAAGAAAAUAAUUGAAAAUUGCUCGAAAUAAUUCAUUUUGCGCUUAUUAAUGGAGUACGCUGAUCCGUGGCGCACCUAAUUUUAUUCUUUUUUGACUUGUCAAUAAAAAAUAAAUGUUCUUAGAGAUUAUGGUUCGUGAGCAUAAUUGCAAAUUUUGUGUAACGAUUACAUUUUAAGUGCUUUUGCAAAGUAUGCAGUGCAUGCAAUUUUAUGCAAUGCGUAGAAAGAACGAGAACUGAAAAUGUGAAUUUGGCUCAAAAAAAAAUAUACCUCAUCCAGACGGGACAUGAACCAUGAGUGAAGUUUGCGGUUCGAGUUCCGUCUGAAUGUGGUAUAUUCCUCUAUGAACCUGAGUCAUAUCCUCAGUUCUCGUUUACCCCGUUUCAUAAAACUUUAUGCACUGCAUUUUAUAUUAUUUCUAAUGUAACACACUAUUCGGUGAGCCGAAUAUUCGGCAAAAUCCAUUUUUUGCUGAUAUUCGGUGCAUCUCUAGUAGACACCAACUGCCUCGAAGUCAAAACCAUAGCUGGUUUCGUGAGCUUCAAAAUUUGUCGCCUAUUUUCCAAACUCAAAGGAGAUCCAAUAGCUUCAAGAACCACGUCGUCAAAUAUCACAACCAAACCAGUUCCAAAAAGCUGCUGGCUGACUGUGCAGUACAGUGCCUCCGGUGGGUUGUUUGCGACGCAGUCAAGAACGGGCUGGCGUCACUACAAACCCAACAUCCUGGUAUUUACUUCCACGAGGCGGUCGAAUAUGUAGGCAAGCACAAGAAGGCGUUUUUCAAUGUUCCGCACUGACCCCCGAGCGAGACUCAAACCGGUGGCGCUGGGCAGGCUUCUUCCACAAAUGCUAACGCGAUGCUGUACAGUCCCUUUUUCGGUAACGAGUCACGAAAACAGGUAAGCCUGUCACCAAGCAACAAGUUAUCUACCUGGUACACGAGAUAGAGAAAACCCACAAACAUUCGGCAUCUAUCAUCACCCUACUGGGACAGGCUAUGGCUCAGUAUAAAGUUUACAAAUGACUACGCUUUUACAAGAAGCAGGUAAUCGAUAUGGCUGAGGAAUAUCUGACAAGUGGAGAUCACUCGAAAGCACUUACGCUCUACUCGCUCAUGCUGUCUGACGGGUGGACGAAUGGUACACAAUAUUCGUCGAAGUUCUGUUAAAAACAUUGCGGUCUGCAUAUCUUUCCGCAUCCCGAUGCCCGAUUUUGUGGCAUGCAGCAUUGAGGCGUUAUCGCCGCAAAUUGAAAUGGAAAAAACUGAUCGCAUUCUGGUAAUGGAAAACCUCUGCAAAGCAUUCCACAACGUGUCUCGGUGUCGAGUAGUCAAAUUUCACUGUCGGCUAGCUGGCAAACCGCAUUAUCCUCUUUCAAUAAUCCCAUAAAACUUGACCUUGACGGGUUGCACGACCUUCUAGAAUGCAAAAUAAGUUUCGAUAAACGACAGUUGAGGAACGACGAAAAACUGCAUCUCCAACUGUACGUUCGUUCCGUCGUAGAAGUUUCUUUGAAGUUGAAAAACUUUUCCGUUUUGUUAACAGAUCUGAAGUCAAGUUCGAGUCGAGUGCCAGCAACUCAGUAUGGUGAAUAUGUGUUAGAGAAAAGCUAAGCUGGACAGGUACAGCCGAAGCCAAUAGAAAAAUUCAUACUAGAGCCCAAUAAAUGCUACCGUAUACUAUUUAGGGGAGAACGCUAUCAGUUUAUGGAGAAUGUUAACGUACAUAUUUUCCGCUUGGAAGUGCAAAUGGGAUCGGACCGAACCAAGGCCAUUCUUUCGCUGCGCGAAAAACUAAACAUUCAGCGAGUUUCAAAUACUUCAAUCAUCGUGACUGUAAGGAGAAAAUAUCGGUCAUCAGUUCGUGCUAUAUCAUUCCAACGCUUCAUCUUGGAUCACAGACCAAACUAAACAACCAACCAAUGUUGACGAAUAAGUUUUACAAAAUUACGACAAAAAUUAUGAACAACCACGAUCUCUGUCUGCAGAACGUUGGAAUCAGUUUCAGUAUGCCUCAAGCUUUACGGAGUAAUGGUGUUACCGAAAUUAUCACAAUAAUCUCUGUCUGCAGAACGUUGGAAUCAGUUUCAGUAUGCCUCAAGCUUUACGGAGUAAUGACCUCCAGUGAUUAACCGAAAGAUUCCAAAAGCACCAUACAGUAAACCACACAGACAUCUUCCACCGAGCAUGUAUUCGAUAAUCUUAUAAGUGUCCUGGAGACAUACGGCCUACCGACUCGUUCUCGAGAAUCGUACAGAACGUUCGGAUAUUAUUCACGGUUGUGAAAAUGAAUCAGUUUCAGAUACUGAGAGCAAAAGACCAUCGGAAACUCAUUAUGAAGCGUAGUGGUAUAAACAUACUUUUGGUACACCUAAAGGAAACCGGGUGUUGGGGAUCCAAACGUGUUUGGCGUGGCUCGUAAUAAACCAUCCCAGACUAAGCUGACAGCAUUUUGCGUUUUGUUUAAAAGGAAGUAACUCAAGGCACAUAUGCUGAUAUGGUAUCGAAAUCCGACACCAAUGCUUGAAUCGCUUCCAACCUUAACAUCUCUAGCUUCGAACUACAGAUUAGUUAUAAAGUUAGUUAAAGUUAUAAUUAAACUAAACAUAAAAACUAGGGACAUUGUACAUUUCGACUAAAAGUGCUGCCACACGAUGCACAGUGGUAUAGUUUCCUCUGGCAGACGUGAUAGAUUUCUAUGUCAUAGUUUUUAUGGAAUAUAAGAAACAAUUCUUUUAAAAAGUAUGAACUAUAACGUAAAAAGCGUAAACUAUUAGCGAGAGCGCUAAACAGUAGACUGCCAAAUAAUCUAUAACAUAGAGCGGUUAGGACGAAAUAGUGCCUAGUCACCAUGUAAUAGUUUUUUGAUAGUCUACAUUUUAGACUUUACGAACUAAUUUCAUUUUUGUCAUAUGACUUACAUUUUUUUUAAGUUUAGUAAAGCGAGCAAUGUAUGUAGUUUUUCGGAAAUGCGAAAAUGAACGGGAACAGAAGGUGUGACUUUUAGGCUUAGAAAAAAUUUUCCCUCGUCCAGACGGGACUCGAACCCGCAAUCUCCGUUGUCUCCGGCAAAGUGUUUUGGCCAAUUAAACUACUGGGAAAGGUAUAACUCAUUCUAAGCCAAAGUCGAAUCACUCCUACUAUUGUGUUCCCGUAUCCCAGCAUGCCACGAUGAACUGCAAAAAAAUUUUCUAAGCCUAAAAGUCACACCUUCUAUUCCCGUUCAUUUUCGCAUUCUCGAAAAACUACAUACAUUGCCCGCUUUACUACAUUUUAGAGCUUUAACUUUUUUAAGGACAUAGUUGUCCAAAAUUUCAAAAAAAAUAACAGAAAUAUAUCACGUCUGUCAUAGGAAACUAUAAGAGAACUAUAUAAACAUUACAAAAACAAUUCAGUUUAAUUCUACGUUCAGAAUACAAUAUUUUAUAUACUAUA